UCGUCGAUAGUCUCUCCAGUGACUUUGAUCUGGUUCACUAUCUCUGCAACACGAGAAUGAAAGUCUUUGAUGCUUUCGCCUUCUUUCAUCGCCAGGUUGUCAAAUUGACGCCAUAGAUUUUGGCGUUUUAUGGAGAUUGCCUUCUCGGAACCUUGAAAUUCGUUCUUCAGGACUUCCCAAGCUUCCUUGGCUGAUUUGAUGCCAAAAAUUCUUGGAAAUAUUGUUUUGCUUACAGCUUGCUGAAUUAUCCUCAAUGCGCUGGCGUUCCUCUUGACAUUCUCCUUAUGUUCCUUCAUC
rnacentral:lncRNA from 1 species